rnacentral:tRNA from 1 species
GGGCAAUUGGCACAGUUGGUUAGCGCGCUUCCUUCACACGGAAGAGGUCAGAGGUUCGAAUCCUCUAUUGCCCACUA